GAGAGUUUGCAUUCAAUUGCUCGCUCUUUUGAAUCAAAAUACAUUGUGGAGAUUAAAGAAUAUGGAGCACAUUUACAAGAAACAUUAGCUCCAUCACAUUACAAGAAUCAUCACCGUUUAUAUUUAUUAAAAGAAUCAAGAAUUUAUAUCAGGAAUAGUGGAGGUUGUUAUGCUUUUAUAUAUCACUGUAAUAUUAACAAAGGAUUGUUAUAAUAUAAUGGCUGAUCGCGUCAGAUAGAAAAUUGAACCAGCUCAUCUUGGAAUGUGAACUUUUUCAAGUGAAAAAAGCCUCUUCAACUGAAUAAGGAACAAGCUGGAAACAGAAUGCUAGCAAGUCAGUGCAACAGGUUCAUCUGGGCUCAAUCCAGCUUUGUGUCAUGCUGUUACCUGAAGACUGGGUGUAAGACUCAGCCUGAGAACUUGAAAUGACAGGUCUAGAAUGUGGGCUGAUUUCUGAACUAUUACUAGGAUUGAGAAAUGGUGGUGGUUGUGUUGGCUGAGGAAUUUCAUGGUUAUUGGUAAGCAUUUUAACAACAACUGACAUUGCUGGACGCUGUUCUGCAGAAGCCUGCACACAAAGUAGGCCUAUUUGAAGCAAUCGAGAUGCUUCCUCCUCUUGAAAAUUACCGUCUAAGAUUGGAUCAACAGCUUCACACAGUCUACCAGUUCCAUGAAGGUUCCAAACCUUUUUCCGUGAAUAAAAAACAGAAUGGUAAAGAAAUUGUAAUUUUACAAAUUAAGAAAUGAAUGAUUUUUGUCUGAUAUAAUUGAUAGAAAGAAUUACCAUUUGCAGGAUAGAACAUGAAUCUUGAACGAAAGCAUUGUUCCUCUUUCCACCAACAAUUUCUAUGACAAGAACUCCAAAACUGUAAACAUCAGCCUUCUCAGUCAAUUUGCCACGAACAACAGUCAAUUUGCCACGAACAACGUAUUCUGGAGCCAUAUAACCUAAUGUGCCAGCAAUUGCAGUGGUAAUAUGAGUCUUAUCUUGUGGAAAUAAUCUUGCUAGUCCAAAGUCAGCAAUCUUUGGUGUGAAGUCCUCAUCAAGCAGAAUAUUGCUUAAUUUUAUGUCUCUAUGUAUUAUUCUUAGCUCAGAUUCCUCAUGAAGAUAGGCCAAGCCCUCUGCUGUGCCCAAUAUGAUGUUAUACCUCAUCUCCAAUGUCAGUGGUUGAAGCUGAACAUUAUUUCUAGCAAAGAGAUAAUCAUGAAGACUUUGAUUCGGUACGUAUUCAUAAACAAGAAGGCUUUCUGGUCCUGUGAUGCUGCAUCCCAGCAACUUCACAAGGUUCUUGUGCUCAAUGUCGCUAAUCAAAUUGACUUCAUUGAAGAAAUGAUCUACCCAUUGCCUUGUGUUGAAUAAAAGCCUCUUUAUAGCAACAACUUUUCCAUCAGGCAAUACCCCCUUGUAAACUGAACCGGAUCCUCCUUGUCCCAGCUUAUUGGAAAGGUGAAAGUAAUUUGUGGCUUUCUCAAGAGAUUCAUAUGAGAAAUUGAGCUUGGAAUUAUUCACUGUGGUUAAUAGAGCACCAAGUUCUUUCCUUUGUCUCCUCUUUUCUGCAAUUCUCUUCUUCAUGAAGAAAACAGCCGUUGUAACAAACAAUACCACAGCCACAGUGGAUGAUGUAACAGCCAGUAUAACCGCUAAGUGGCUGCUUCCUCCACUUUCUGAAGGGGCCCCUGAAUUGUUGUAGAAUUUCUGAAUGGAGUAUCUCAAGUAACAACCAGCAUUCAAAACCCUUCCUUCUUCCUUCGGAGUACAAUUGGCAAUCUUAGAUACAGCAUUUGCCAGACAAGUCUCGCAAGCACUCCCAUUCACCAACUCCCAACACUGAGCCAAUCCAUAAACAGAAACAUUACUUCUAUUCACAGACCCCACAAAAAACCCAUCAUUUCUCACGGCUUGCACACUCAAAUUCCUCACCAACUCCAUAGCAUUAGCGCUGAAAACAGUCUUAUUUCCGCCAGAAAAAUCCCCAUCUGCACAUGCUGUUUCGUCCUGUGAACUCAGCGUCUCGUUAAAGAAAUUAUAAUCAUCGUACCUUAAAUAGCACCCAUCGUAGAAAAGUCUGCCCCCACGAGUGCCUCUUUGGAAAGGGAGGCACCUCAAAACCUGAGUCUUGCACUGGGCGAAACAGAGAUUGCAAUCUGUUUGAUCAAGAUCUUUCAUGCACUCACCAAAGGUAUAUACUGUAUUGUUACCUGUCCCGUUGAUAACAGCUCCGUACUGUAGCCUCGCAAUCAAAGGAGUCACUGCGUCCAUUGUAGCUAAAAAAUUUGCUACGAAGAUUUGCCUCUCUUGCAUCGGGGCUGUUCUGUUUGAGCACAUCCGACCUGCCUCCGUAGCUCUUGGAUCAGACAAGGAAAUUUUCACCAAGAAACAGGAACAGAAAAGCAGACAGAUCACAUAAUAACCAUAUGGGAAAGAAGUGUUCAUUCUUCUCUCAAUUUUCUCGGCAAGCAAACAGAAGAGAGAGAGAAUCAUAAACAAGAAAUAAAGAAGCAAAAAUGGUUUUGUUCAAACAAAAGUGUCAACUUUCAACGAGCAGCAAACGCUUACGCGACGUAAAGAAAAUGGAACGUUCGGACAAAGGGAUCAAAACAAGUAAAGCCGCCAUAAAAAUUUGCACCAGUUGGUUAUAGCUUAGCAGGUAGAGAGAGCUGAAGUUGAGAGUCUUUCAUUCAUGGGUGGUGGGUAGGACCAAAUGGGUCAAAUUGGUUAAUCGGGAUGCUUUCCAUUCUAUCAUACGCACAGAACCUGCCU
rnacentral:misc_RNA from 1 species